rnacentral:rRNA from 1 species
GAGUAACACGUGGGUGACCUGCCUUCGAGCGGGGGAAACGUUCCGAAAGGGACGCUAAUACCGCAUGACAUCCCGCCUUUCAGAUCGCUGAGAUCAAAGCUGGGGAUCGCUUUACCCAGCACUCGCGGCUGGCCCGCGUCCGAUUAGGGUAUUGGUGAGGUAACGGCUCAAUCAGGCGACGAUCUGUAACCGGCCUGACCGGCGGACGGCCACACUGGGACUGAAACACUACCGGACUCCUACGGGAGGCUUUUGGGGGAAUUGUUAAAAAUGGACGCAAGCCUGAGACUCAACGACGCGUGGAGGAUGAAUGUCUUCUCCUUUCAAUCUCCUUUAUUAUCGACACUAACGGCUUCCGGGUGAACGGCCCGGGAGAGUGACGGUACCGAGAGAUAAAGCCCCGUGCUAACUCCGUGCCAGAAUUAUUGGGUAAUACGGGGGGGGCAAGCGUUGUUCGGAAUUACUGGUGCGUAUCGGGCUCGUAACUCGCCAACUAGCUCAGACGUCUGCUCCGCUCGGCUUGUCCGAGAAACUGCUGCUGAUACUGGAUGGCUUGAGUGUGGCGAGAGGGAUGCGGAAUUCCACGUGUAGCGAUGAAAUGC